rnacentral:rRNA from 1 species
AGGCCUAACACAUGCAAGUCGAACGGCAGCACAGAAGAGCUUGCUCUUUGGGUGGCGAGUGGCGGACGGGUGAGUAAUGUCUGGGAAACUGCCCGAUGGAGGGGGAUAACUACUGGAAACGGUAGCUAAUACCGCAUAACGUCGCAAGACCAAAGUGGGGGACCUUCGGGCCUCACACCAUCGGAUGUGCCCAGAUGGGAUUAGCUAGUAGGUGGGGUAAUGGCUCACCUAGGCGACGAUCCCUAGCUGGUCUGAGAGGAUGACCAGCCACACUGGAACUGAGACACGGUCCAGACUCCUACGGGAGGCAGCAGUGGGGAAUAUUGCACAAUGGGCGCAAGCCUGAUGCAGCCAUGCCGCGUGUAUGAAGAAGGCCUUCGGGUUGUAAAGUACUUUCAGCGGGGAGGAAGGCGGUGAGGUUAAUAACCUUGCCGAUUGACGUUACCCGCAGAAGAAGCACCGGCUAACUCCGUGCCAGCAGCCGCGGUAAUACGGAGGGUGCAAGCGUUAAUCGGAAUUACUGGGCGUAAAGCGCACGCAGGCGGUCUGUUAAGUCAGAUGUGAAAUCCCCGGGCUUAACCUGGGAACUGCAUUUGAAACUGGCAGGCUUGAGUCUCGUAGAGGGGGGUAGAAUUCCAGGUGUAGCGGUGAAAUGCGUAGAGAUCUGGAGGAAUACCGGUGGCGAAGGCGGCCCCCUGGACGAAGACUGACGCUCAGGUGCGAAAGCGUGGGGAGCAAACAGGAUUAGAUACCCUGGUAGUCCACGCCGUAAACGAUGUCGACUUGGAGGUUGUGCCCUUGAGGCGUGGCUUCCGGAGCUAACGCGUUAAGUCGACCGCCUGGGGAGUACGGCCGCAAGGUUAAAACUCAAAUGAAUUGACGGGGGCCCGCACAAGCGGUGGAGCAUGUGGUUUAAUUCGAUGCAACGCGAAGAACCUUACCUGGCCUUGACAUCCAGAGAACUUAGCAGAGAUGCUUUGGUGCCUUCGGGGACUCUGAGACAGGUGCUGCAUGGCUGUCGUCAGCUCGUGUUGUGAAAUGUUGGGUUAA